rnacentral:rRNA from 1 species
CACCAGACUCCUACGGGAGGCAGCAGUGGGGGAUAUUGCACAAUGGGCGCAAGCCUGAUGCAGCGACGCCGGGUGAGCGAAGAAGUAUUUCGGUAUGUAAAGCUCUAUCAGCAGGGAAGAAAAUGACGGUACCUGACUAAGAAGCUCCGGCUAAAUGCGUGCCAGCAGCCGCGGUAAUACGUAUGGAGCAAGCGUUAUCCGGAAUUACUGGGUGUAAAGGGAGCGUAGGCGGGGGAACAAGUUGAAUGUUUAAGAUAUGGGCUCAACUCAUAUAAGCGUUCAAAACUGUUUUUCUUGAGUGAAGUAGAGGUAAGCGGAAUUCCUAGUGUAGCGGUGGAAUGCGUAAAUAUUAGGAGGAACACCAGUGGCGAAGGCGGCUUACUGGGCUUUAACUGACGCUGAGGCUCGAAAGCGUGGGUAGCAAACAGGAUUAGAUACCCGCGUAG